UACGGGGGGAGCAAGCGUUGUUCGGAAUUACUGGGCGUAAAGCGCACGUAGGCGGAUUUGUAAGUCAGGGGUGAAAUCCCGGGGCUCAACCUCGGAACUGCCUUUGAUACUGCAAGUCUCGAGUCCGAUAGAGGUGGGUGGAAUUCCUAGUGUAGAGGUGAAAUUCGUAGAUAUUAGGAAGAACACCGGUGGCGAAGGCGGCCCACUGGAUCGGUACUGACGCUGAGGUGCGAAAGCGUGGGGAGCAAACAGG
rnacentral:rRNA from 1 species